rnacentral:rRNA from 1 species
GACGAACGCUGGCGGCGUGCUUAACACAUGCAAGUCGAACGGAAAGGCCCUUCGGGGUACUCGAGUGGCGAACGGGUGAGUAACACGUGGGUGAUCUGCCCUGCACUUUGGGAUAAGCCUGGGAAACUGGGUCUAAUACCGAAUAGGACCACGGCCUUCAUGGGUUGUGGUGGAAAGCUUUUGCGGUGUGGGAUGGGCCCGCGGCCUAUCAGCUUGUUGGUGGGGUAAUGGCCUACCAAGGCGACGACGGGUAGCCGGCCUGAGAGGGUGACCGGCCACACUGGGACUGAGAUACGGCCCAGACUCCUACGGGAGGCAGCAGUGGGGAAUAUUGCACAAUGGGCGCAAGCCUGAUGCAGCGACGCCGCGUGAGGGAUGACGGCCUUCGGGUUGUAAACCUCUUUCAGCAGGGACGAAGCGCAAGUGACGGUACCUGUAGAAGAAGGACCGGCCAACUACGUGCCAGCAGCCGCAGUAACAC